rnacentral:rRNA from 1 species
AUUGAACGCUGGCGGCAGGCCUAACACAUGCAAGUCGAGCGGAUGAAGGGAGCUUGCUCCUGGAUUCAGCGGCGGACGGGUGAGUAAUGCCUAGGAAUCUGCCUGGUAGUGGGGGAUAACGUCCGGAAACGGGCGCUAAUACCGCAUACGUCCUGAGGGAGAAAGUGGGGGAUCUUCGGACCUCACGCUAUCAGAUGAGCCUAGGUCGGAUUAGCUAGUUGGUGGGGUAAAGGCCUACCAAGGCGACGAUCCGUAACUGGUCUGAGAGGAUGAUCAGUCACACUGGAACUGAGGCACGGUCCAGACUCCUACGGGAGGCAGCAGUGGGGAAUAUUGGACAAUGGGCGAAAGCCUGAUCCAGCCAUGCCGCGUGUGUGAAGAAGAUCUUCGGGUUGUAAAGCACUUUAAGUUGGGAGGAAGGGCAGUAAGUUAAUACCUUGCUGUUUUGACGUUACCAACAGAAUAAGCACCGGCUAACUUCGUG